UACGUAGGUGGCAAGCGUUGUCCGGAUUUACUGGGCGUAAAGAGCGCGCAGGCGGUCGUUCAAGUCGCGUGUGAAAGCCCCUGGCUCAACUGGGGAGGGUCACGCGAUACUGAUCGACUCGAAGGCAGGAGAGGGAAGUGGAAUUCCCGGUGUAGUGGUGAAAUGCGUAGAUAUCGGGAGGAACACCAGUGGCGAAGGCGACUUCCUGGCCUGUUCUUGACGCUGAGGCGCGAAAGCUAGGGGAGCAAACGGG
rnacentral:rRNA from 1 species